GAUGAAGAACGUAGCGAAACGCGAUAUGUAAUGUGAAUUGCAGAAUUCAGUGAAUCAUCGAAUCUUUGAACGCACAUGGCGCCUUCCAGUAUCCUGGGAGGCAUGCCUGUCCGAGCGUCGUUUCAACCCUCGAGCCCUCGUGGCCCGGCGUUGGGGAUCUGCCACGGCAGGCCCCGAAAUACAGUGGCGGACCCGUUAGGCCCUUCCUUUGCGUAGUAGCAUCAGCCUCGCAUCGGGAGCCGGCGGGCUCUCCUGCCUCUAAUCCCCCCAACAAGCCCGCUCCGGCGGCACCAAGGUUGACCUCGGAUCAGGUAGGAAUACCCGCUGAACUUAAGCAUAUCAAUAAGCGGAGGA
rnacentral:misc_RNA from 1 species